GUGAGGAAUAUUGGUCAAUGGACGAGAGUCUGAACCAGCCAAGUAGCGUGAAGGAUGACUGCCCUAUGGGUUGUAAACUUCUUUUAUAAGGGAAUAAAGUGAGGGACGUGUCCCUUUUUGUAUGUACCUUAUGAAUAAGGAUCGGCUAACUCCGUGCCAGCAGCCGCGGUAAUAUGGAGGAUCCGAGCGUUAUCCGGAUUUAUUGGGUUUAAAGGGAGCGUAGGUUGACGUAUAAGUCAGCUGUGAAAGUUUACGGCUCAACCGUGAAAGUGCAGUUGAUACUGUAUGUCUGGAGUGUACAAGAGGUGGGCGGAAUUCGUGGUGUAGCGGUGAAAUGCUUAGAUAUCACGAAGAACUCCAAUUGCGAAGGCAGCUCACUGGGGUACAACUGACACUGAGGCUCGAAAGUGUGGGUAUCAAACAGGAUUAGAUACCCGGGUAGUCC
rnacentral:rRNA from 1 species